CCCGCUGAACUUAAGCAUAUCAAUAAGCGGAGGAAAAGAAACUAACAAGGAUUCCCCUAGUAACUGCGAGUGAAGCGGGAAAAGCUCAAAUUUAAAAUCUGGUGGCCUCUGGUCAUCCGAGUUGUAAUUUAGAGAAGUGUUUUCAGUGCAGGACCGUGUACAAGUCUCUUGGAAUGGAGCAUCAUAGAGGGUGAGAAUCCCGUCUUUGACACGGACUACCUGUGCUUUGUGAUACACUCUCAAAGAGUCGAGUUGUUUGGGAAUGCAGCUCAAAAUGGGUGGUAAAUUCCAUCUAAAGCUAAAUAUUGGCGAGAGACCGAUAGCGAACAAGUACCGUGAGGGAAAGAUGAAAAGCACUUUGGAGAGAGAGUUAAACAGUACGUGAAAUUGUUGAAAGGGAAACGCUUGGAGUCAGUCGCGUUUGUUAGAACUCAGCUUGGCUUCUGCUUAGUGUACUUUCUAAUGAACGGGCCAACAUCGAUUUCAGUCAGUGGAUAAGGGUAAGAGGAAUGUGGCACCUUCGGGUGUGUUAUAGCCUCUUAUCGUAUACAUUUACUGGGAUCGAGGUCUGCAGCACUUGUGCUUAGGAUGUUGGCAUAAUGGCUUUAAUCGACCCGUCUUGAAACACGG
rnacentral:rRNA from 1 species